rnacentral:rRNA from 1 species
GACGAACGCUGGCGGCGUGCCUAAUACAUGCAAGUUGAGCGCUGAAGGUUGGUACUUGUCCCGACUGGAUGAGCAGCGAACGGGUGAGUAACGCGUGGGGAAUCUGCCUUUGAGCGGGGGACAACAUUUGGAAACGAAUGCUAAUACCGCAUAAAAACUUUAAACACAAGUUUUAAGUUUGAAGGAUGCAAUUGCAUCACUCAAAGAUGAUCCCGCGUUGUAUUAGCUAGUUGGUGAGGUAAAGGCUCACCAAGGCGAUGAUACAUAGCCGACCUGAGAGGGUGAUCGGCCACAUUGGGACUGAGACACGGCCCAAACUCCUACGGGAGGCAGCAGUAGGGAAUCUUCGGCAAUGGACGAAAGUCUGACCGAGCAACGCCGCGUGAGUGAAGAAGGUUUUCGGAUCGUAAAACUCUGUUGGUAGAGAAGAACGUUGGUGAGAGUGGAAAGCUCAUCAAGUGACGGUAACUACCCAGAAAGGGACGGCUAACUACGUG